CACACACCUACCCACCCCAAAACCCGAGCUCACAUCCACACCCACGUGCAGUGACCAUUGUUUAGGCCCUUAGGGCAUAACGGACUUCAAGGUUCCUAUUUAACUGCUGUAUCAUGAUAGACUAUUUUUUUCCAACACGUUACAGACCUAAAAUCUGGCUAUUCCUGUAAUGUGAAUAGCCAACAGGACUCAAUAUUCUUUUUUAACCAUCAUACGGAGGCUAAUUCAGGGCACAUGUUGCUUCAGUUAACCUCAAGGCAAGGCUAACGGACCAUCAGUGACAGUCUACCUCUCCAUCCGAAAAUGACCUCUUUUGGACACUCCUCUCUACAUACUUUUAUAGGAGCAGUGUUAGCGGAUUUUUUUAUUUUUUUUUUAUUUUUAGCUUUGCGCUGCUUCAUUUAGUGUAAAAUAAAAUAAAUAAACGUCAUAAAGGCACAGUAGGUAGAGGAGGGUACUGCAUGGGGCUUCGUGGUUGGUUCUCAAGGGGCUUGACUUGCCAGACAAUCAAUGAACAAUCACAAACUUUAUCAUGAGAAAAGUUACACCGGGCAAUCAAACACUCCUGGCGAUGACGAGGCAGCUUAUCAUAUCAUAUCGUAGCAUAGCAUAUCAUAGCAAACAACAACAGCUUAUCACGGCAAACAAACACUGGGAAAAGGCUUAAUGUAACGUAAAUAAACACCGGGGUGAGGUUUAUCAUAGCAAAUAAAUGAUGUUCUUGACUAAAAGGAUCUCUCUCUCUCACACACACACACACACACA